CAGAAUGGUUGCCAAUACUCAAUUAUAAGGCAAAGUAAUGUACAAAAGAUUCAGAUUCAUGCUGCGGGUGGCUUCUCUCGCAGAGGGGUGGAAGGGGAGCUUGCUGUUUCCAAAUCAAAGGCCUGGAGCUGCAGUGAGCAGCGGUGGUGACUCUCAGCUGGAUCACAGGGGCACGUCUAAGAUGGUUACUGCUGACUCCUUAAUCACUUCAGCAUGUACUUGGUGGUGGCUAAGGUUUGAAUUUGCAUUUGCUUGAUGGCAAUAAGCAAAAAGGGAGCAC